CUGCAGCCACGCCUGGGAGGGUAGGGAUCCUGCCUGCUCCUGCCAGCUCUGUGGAAUGUGGCACUGCCCCAGACCCAGCUCCACCUUGGGGCCUCUCUCUGCCCGCCCCUCUGUGCCUGACCGCGCUGCUCCCCCACCGGUGGGAGACUGGCUCAGCUCCCAGGGCAGUGGGUGAGGUGCAGGUGGCGCAGCACUCGGGCCAACCCGGCACAAAUGAACCUGACGCUCCUAGGGCCGGCCCUGCGUGUACCAGCUGCGCUGUCGGCCAGGUAUUCACCUCCCCCAGCAUGCAGUGGGAAGUGAGGUUGAGGCCGCGGUGGAGGCCGGGCGCGAGAGCAGGUGCUGCCCGGCCGUGCGAGGGUGGGGGUGGUGCAGUCGGCUGCCUCGGGGACGCGGGGUACAGGGGACCCACCGCCACCACUGCUGCUCUCACAGCUGCUCCUGCUGCCGCCUCUUGCGCCUCCCCACUGCAGCCCACAUGAUAGCAGCGGCCCCUCCGGAUGGCCUGCCGCUGCCAUCAGCAAGACACACAGGGGCCACAGGCGCCACAAGGGGAAGCACCAGAGUGGAUCAGGAGGCAGGAGCAAGACAAAAGUACAGACAAGAGCCUUUACUGUGGCAUCUACAGGAAGCAAUGGAUAAGGCAAGAACGUGAGCCAUGGUGAUGGAAGCCUCUUCCAAACCAAAGUGCUUAAUAAGUGCUCGUGAGGACCAUACAAUGUGGAAGGAACCUGGGUCCCUGAAAAUUCCCACAGAAGGCUACUGACCAAGAAAUCUUUCAAAAGACUAUGACAGGAGCAAAAACUACAUUUUUAUUGGGUUAAACUACAGAGAUUUCUGGGUGUAUCUGUUACAGCAACUGGUGUUAAUUAAACAGAGAAGAGCACCGUUCCAUUUUCUCUUUAAGGUUGGAGUAUUAAAUUGCCUCUAUUGUCUCUUUUACGGUAUUGAUAUUUUUUGAUUGAUUGAUCGACCAGGUUUCUUUACUAUCAAUUCUUCACCUUUAAUGGGC
rnacentral:lncRNA from 1 species